rnacentral:rRNA from 1 species
GCGAAAACUUUACAAUGCGGGAAACCGUGAUAAGGGAACUCCGAGUGCCCGUAAAAUCGGGCUGUCCACCAGUUUAAACAACUGGUGAAGAAAGGGCCGGGCAAGACCGGUGCCAGCCGCCGCGGUAAUACCGGCGGCUCGAGUGGUGGCCACUAUUACUGGGCUUAAAGCGUUCGUAGCUGGUUUGUUAAGUCUCUGGGAAAAUCUUCCGGCUUAACCGGAAGGCGUCUCAGGGAUACUGGCAGACUAGGGACCGGGAGAGGUGAGGGGUACUCCAGGGGUAGGAGUGAAAUCCUGUAAUCCUUGGGGGACCACCUGUGGCGAAGGCGCCUCACCAGAACGGCUCCGACAGUGAGGGUCGAAAGCUGGGGGAGCAAACC